UAUACCACCGUGGUAUUACCACGCAUCCUUCCACAAAUCAGUGCUCAGUUGCGCCACUCCAUCAACCAUUCUGUGACCAGUAAUUAAAACUAACGUUGAUCUAUUGGGUCCUUUAAAGUAACCCAUGCUUGUGCGAUUCACGUUCCUGGCGCUUAUAAAGAGCCCUCACCCAAUUAUGCAACGUUGCCAGGUUUUCUACUAAGCUGUGUUCAAGGAAAUGGCAGAGCAGGAAGCGAAGAAGCUAGAAGCUGAAUCAUCGGUGAUAAAUACUCCGGCAACGGCGGAAGUUAAAGACGCCACGGCACAGCAGAAAUUAUUGUUCCACCGCCUGAAGAGAAGCCUGAUGAAUCCAAAGCUCUUGCCGUAGUCGAAAGAAGAUCAAGCUAUGGUGGUAAUAAUCUGUUGGGCUCUUUGGCAAGCAUGAUGUGGUCUAGUCUUCGAAGUGGUCGAGCCCUAUUGUUGUGGUGUAUCGGGCCAGGACAAUCCUCUAGGAUUGGUGUAAUGUGCGGCACGUUAAUGACAGUUCUUCUAAUGCUGUGCCAACUCCAUUCUUGAAAGCUAAUGUAGAUGCAACAAUCUUCCCCGAUGGCUUCAUUGGAAUUGGUGGAGUGCUUCGCUCAUAUGAUGGUUCUUUUGUUGGUGCUUGUCAACUUCAACUCCUUAGUUACUUCUCUCAUAAAAUAGCUGAGCUAAUUGCUAUUAGAGAAGUUUUGAGUUGGAUUAAGAGGGUGGGUUAUGAUCAAUUAGUGUUAGAAUAAGAUGCUCUUAUGGCAGUGAAACUUUGCUUUUUUCUUCGA